UGCGCAUGUGUGUGUGUGGAUGUGCGUGUGCGUGUGUAUGCCUGUGUGUGUUUGUGUGUGCGUCUGUGUGCAUGUGUGUGUGCACAUGCAUGUGUGUUCACGUGAGUGCAUCUCAUCUGUCACCCACAACCAGGGGAGCGGUGCUUGUACAACCAGCUGGUGGCUUCUGCAACCAGCAGCUUCUGGCCGUGCAGCUCCCUGUAGGGAAUAUGAGUUAAUCUGGAUGUCAGCCUAAGAUGUAGUCAGGGAGCACAAGCAGUCGAGUUAAGACAGGAGCCUCGUUCAAAGUUCCGCCCGGGGCCAGGCACAGCGCAGGCUCUCAGAGGAGGGCCCAGGAGUCCACAGGCUGCGGCGGCGCGAGACAAAAGUCGGAAGACAGGACCCCGCUGAGGAGUGAGGAGACAGCGGCCAACCCUCCGCCAGACCCUUCCGCCUGGUGCCUUUACUGGGCUCUGAGGAGGAAUUUGGUGGUUCAGUCGGCCCAUCCGUGGACACCAUAAAAACAAAGAGAAAACAGACACACACAGAUGCACACAUAGAUACACACAGAUACACACAGACACGGAUAUAUAGACACACACAGAUACACACACGUGGACACAGACACACACAUAGACACAGAUAUAUAGACACACACAGAUACACACACGUGGACACAAACACACACAGACAUACCCAUAGUUACGGAUAUAUGCAUGGAUACACAAUACACAGACACACAGAUGAUACAUGCAUAGACAGAUAUAUGGACACACACACACGGACACACAGAUACACACAUAGACACAUAGACAGACACAGAUACAGACACAGGCACAUGUAGACACACAUGGACAUACAAUACUCAGAUGAACACAGAGAUAAUAUACACAUAGACACAGAUCUAUAGAUACACAAAGACAUACACACAGAUAUACAUAGAUGCACACAUAGACACAGAUACACAUGUCAUCACACAUGGACACACACAGACACACACCAAUACACACAUAGACAUACGAAGACACAGGUACACAGACACGUAUACACACAGACACGCAUAUAUACAUACAGACGCAGAUAUACACACAGACACAGACAUACACACACACACAGACACAGAUAUACACAGAUACAUGGACAGAUACACAUUCACAUACACACAUAGAUACACAGAAACACACAGACACACAGACACAUAGAGACACACACACAGCCACACAGGCCCUGAGCCUCCCUGGGCCCUCCCUUGUGCAGAGGCGGAGGGGCUGGCUGUCGGGGAGGGCACCUGGAGAGGACACACAGCCCCAUCAGAGACCAGGGAGUGGCUCUGGGAGCUCUUUUCGUCCAAAGGGGCUGGAGCUCCAGUUAGCCAAGGUGAGCGCCAGGUGGUGACAGGAAUGACAUAGGAAAAUAAGACGGCCCGGGCAGGG
rnacentral:lncRNA from 1 species